CACUGCUAUCGGGGUUCGAUUAAGCCAUGCGAGUCGAGAGGGUUCAGACCCUCGGCGCACUGCUCAGUAACACGUGGAUAACCUACCCUGAGGAGGGGGAUAACCCCGGGAAACUGGGGAUAAUACCUCAUAGGUUUCAGAUGCUGGAAUGCUCUGAAACCGAAAUGCUCCGGCGCCUCAGGAUGGAUCUGCGGCCGAUUAGGUUGUUGUUGGGGUAACGGCCCAACAAGCCCGUCAUCGGUACGGGUUGUGAGAGCAAGAGCCCGGAGAUGGAUUCUGAGACACCAAUCCAGGCCCUACGGGGCGCAGCAGGCGCGAAACCUUUACAAUGCGAGCAAUCGUGAUAAGGGAACCCCGAGUGCCUGAAACCAGGCUGUUCAGGUGUUUAAAAAGCACCUGGAGAAAGGGCCGGGCAAGACCGGUGCCAGCCGCCGCGGUAAUACCGGCGGCUCGAGUGGUGGCCGCUAUUAUUGGGCUUAAAGCGUUCGUAGCUGGGUUGUUAAGUCUCUUGGGAAAUCUCACGGCUCAACCGUGAGGCGACUAAGAGAUACUGGCAAUCUUGGGACCGGGAGAGGUGAGAGGUACUC
rnacentral:rRNA from 1 species